GUUGCCAAUCUAGGGACUAUAUUUCUCAGACUGUCUUGCAUGUAGACAGAUAUUUGUGACUUGUUUUUACCAAUGUAAUAUGAGUGAAAGUGAUCUGUGUGACUACUGUACCAUCAUCUCUUUCCUCAUUUGCCAGCUGCACAUAGGGCAAUCCAGAGCCCACAGGUAUGGAGAAGUCAUAGACAUGGAGCUUGGACCUUUCUUGGAAGAAACUACCCACCUACCAUGAACAACUGCUCUGGACUCUUAGGACUAUACAUGCAGCUAUAAAUGACCUGCAAGAGUCUAGACUCAUGGAAUUGUCCUCACCUGGCUUAAAGGAAUGAAUAGAGAAUGGAAUCCAGAGGAAACACAUCAUCCAUACCUGAUCUAGUAUAAUAGCAUUGAGAGGUGGUGAGACUUUUAAGAGGUGAGCAUAGCAGACAGUGAUUGGAUAAGAAAAAAGAAGAUGGAUCAGCAGAUGGCAUGGUGUGAGUGCACGUGCCAUGUGGCAAUCCUUCCAA